rnacentral:lncRNA from 1 species
CUUACAUUUGAAGAUCUUCUUUGCUUUGCAUAUCAAGUUGCCAAAGGAAUGGAAUUUCUGGAAUUUAAGUCUGUGUUCACAGAGACCUGGCCGCCAGGAACGUGCUUGUCACCCACGGGAAAGUGGUGAAGAUAUGUGACUUUGGAUUGGCUCGAGAUAUCAUGAGUGAUUCCAACUAUGUUGUCAGGGGCAAGCCCGUCUGCCUGUAAAAUGGAUGGCCCCCGAAAGCCUGUUUGAAGGCAUCUACACCAUUAAGAGUGAUGUCUGGUCAUAUGGAAUAUUACUGUGGGAAAUCUUCUCACUUGUGUGAAUCCUUACCCUGGCAUUCCGGUUGAUGCUAACUUCUACAAACUGAUUCAAAAUGGAUUUAAAAUGGAUCAGCCAUUUUAUGCUACAGAAGAAAAUACAUUAUAAUGCAAUCCUGCUGGGCUUUUGACUCAAGGAAACGGCCAUCCUUCCCUAAUUUGACUUCGUU